rnacentral:misc_RNA from 1 species
GGAGAGUAGUGUCCAUAGGAUUAGACUGAAUGAUGCUGUUAACAUUUCUAGGUGGCGUUAGUAGUUGAGCCUGAUUCUGAAAUUCCUGCUGCUGGUAGCUUGGACUGAUUGUGGCUGACUUUGACAGAUUCAGCUUAUUACCAUGAAGUAGCAGUAAAUUUGGAUAAGAGUUGCUGAUAGGAUGCCUAAGAUGCUGUUCUUCCUCUAACAUUCUUGUAGGCAAAAGGCAAGUAGGAGGUUGCCCCAACAUCCCGUAGCCAGGGCCAACCGGAAACUCUCCACACCUCUGCUGGUAUAUUGGUAAUUUUGGCAGAACUGGACGCAUAUUUUGUAUCUCAUUCUGUGUCAUUUGUCCACCCUUAACAGAGGACUUUGUCUUGGCCUCUUCAUGUUUAAGUUGCC